GAUGAACGCUGGCGGCGUGCCUAACACAUGCAAGUCGAACGAUGAAACCGCCUCCGGGCGGACAUGAAGUGGCGAACGGGUGAGUAACACGUGACCGACCUGCCCCCCGCCCAGGGACAGCCCCCCGAAAGGGGGAUUAAUACCUGGUACUCCGGAAGCGGCGCAUCCCACCCCCGGGAACGCUCUGGCGGCGGGGGAUGGGGUCGCGGCCCAUCAGGUAGACGGCGGGGCAGAGGCCCACCGUGCCGACGACGGGUAGCCGGGUUGAGAGACCGACCGGCCACAUUGGGACUGAGAUACGGCCCAGACUCCUACGGGAGGCAGCAGUGGGGAAUUUUGCGCAAUGGGGGCAACCCUGACGCAGCAACGCCGCGUGCGGGACGAAGGCGUCCGCGUCGUAAACCGCUUUCAGCGGGGAACACUUUUCGAGGGUACCCGCAGAAGAAGCCCCGGCUAAAUACGUGCCAGCAGCCGCAGUAA
rnacentral:rRNA from 1 species